AUCUUUGAUCGAGAUGGAAAAUCUCCUGCCUGAGGGAGAACAUGUCCCAUCGAGUUGGGAAUCUGGUGGAUAUGAGUUGAGCAAAAGAAAAAUUCAAGAUUUAAACAAGACGAUUCGGGCUUUGAAACGUGGUCGCACAUAUAAAAGUUACCAAGAAAGAAUGAAGGUAAAGAAAUUGGAACAAGAAAAGGCCAAAGCUGCUUCACGAGUGAAAGUCUGGAAGCCUGUCUCUGACUAUCAUUUAAACAAGGUUCUCGGAAGCAGUGCUGCCAAGACAGAAAUGAAUUCAUUUGAGAGCGAUUCACAUACUAAAACAAUUGAGCCAAUGAUGAGAGGAAGAGAAGAAAAGACUUCGUUCGCCGAUGCCGUCCGAGAUGUUUUGGCUCAUCGUCGACAGCUGAAGAUCAGAGCAGCGGCUUUCAUUUCUUUGCUACCUGAUAAAAUAAGAGAAUAUAAAAUUGAAUCUUUACGUUCCUAUAUGACAAAUCUGUACGACAUUCUACAAACUUUGAUUAACAUAAAGAACAAGGAUCUGAAAAGCAGGACAGCAAUUACACCGGGAACUCUAAGAGCAUUGAAGCAAGAACCUGCGGCAUUGAACCAGCCAUGUUUCAGAACUCGGCAGAACUCUGGAGAAUCGUCGAUAAAGUCUUGGGAUGAAAUGUUGAACAUGAAAUCAAAUGAAAAUUAUUCAAUACCAACAAAGAAAGAUGGAAUAACUACAAAUAUGCCUUUGUGGCAGAUUCUUGCAACAGAAUAUAUAGAUGACAUCAAUUGGAUGCCUAAACACGGAUCAACAGUUUGCUCCCCAGCAAAAGAAACUUUAGUUGACCGGAUGGUUCUUGGGUGGAAUCAAGUGAGAGCAAAACAAGCAAAAGACACAGAAUAUGCAAUUAAGACUAUAGAAAGGAAAAAUAUGGACCGAUUUCGAGUGCUAAACUUCUUUUUGAAUCAGCGCCAUAUUUCCUUUGAGCAUUUUUGUAAGAAAGUAAAAGUCGCUUUCCCCGAAGUACGAAUACAAAUACGGCAUGACAAAGAUAUUGAAAAAGUUUCUUGGUUAUAUGAGUUGGAUGAUCUGUGCCAAAGUUACAAAGAUGCAGAUCCAACCCUUCACUUUCCCGAGUUGAAGCGCUUACAAAGGUUUUUCAAGUUCGAGUUACAAGAAAUACCUUUUAUAAAGGCCAAACUUUGCCUUUACGUAAUGUCCGUUCCAGCUUAUGAAAUUUUAAAAUGUGAAAUACAGAAAGCUCUUAUGGCGACUCUGAAAAUACUCUUUCUGCCUGAAGGUCUCCUUAAGGAAUGGCUUAGUAUUCGACAUCUUCCGAUGCUGGUUACAGACUAACUAUCCUAUUUCCACCAUCAUUUUUAUAAUAUUUAGAUUUCCAAUUAUAUAAAACUAGUAUAAAAGCUGAUCACACGAUAUUUAACAACUUUCGAAUAAACUGAGAAAAUGCAUAGGUAUUGUAACGAGAAUCAAAGCAAUGGCAUAUUUAUUCUGGAAGAUUCGAACAUGAAUAACCUAAUCACAGUGGUAUUUCGCCUUCGGAGAACACUUACCCGCUUUAUAUGAUGUGUGUUCAAAAUGCACGCAAAUCAUUGACUUAAGGCGACUUUGAAACAUAGCGGUGUUUAUAAAUUGUUCCGUGUGUCAGAAUAAAUGUUUAUAUUG
rnacentral:misc_RNA from 1 species